rnacentral:rRNA from 1 species
GUCGAGGAUCUUCCGCAAUGGGCGAAAGCCUGACGGAGCGACGCCGCGUGGAGGACGAAGGCCUUCGGGUUGUAAACUCCUGUCAAGGGUUAUGAAAGAACGUAGGCGAACAGUCUACGGAGUGACGUAAGCCCUGAAGGAAGCACCGGCUAACUCUGUGCCAGCAGCCGCGGUAAUACAGAGGGUGCAAACGUUGUUCGGAAUCACUGGGCGUAAAGCGCGCGUAGGCGGCCAGACAAGUGUCGGAUGAAAUCCCACGGCUUACCCGUGGAACGGUUCGGCAUACUGUCCGGCUCGAGGGUGGUAGAGGAGAGCGGAACUCCUGGUGGAGCGGUGAAAUGCGUAGAUAUCAGGAGGAACACCGGUGGCGAAGGCGGCUCUCUGGUCCACAACUGACGCUGAGGCGCGAAAGCUAGGGGAGCAAACGGGAUUAGAUACCCGUGUAGUCC